AGAGUUUGAUCCUGGCUCAGAAUCAACGCUGGCGGCGUGCCUAACACAUGCAAGUCGAACGAGAAAGUGGAGCAAUCCAUGAGUAAAGUGGCGCACGGGUGAGUAACACGUGACUAACCUACCCUUGAGUGGGGGAUAACCUAGAGAAAUCUGGGCUAAUACCGCAUAAUACCUUCGGGUCAAAGGAGCAAUUCGCUUAAGGAGGGGGUCGCGGCCGAUUAGUUAGUUGGCGGGGUAAUGGCCCACCAAGACUGUGAUCGGUAUCCGGCCUGAGAGGGCGCACGGACACACUGGAACUGAAACACGGUCCAGACUCCUACGGGAGGCAGCAGUGGGGAAUCUUGCGCAAUGGGGGAAACCCUGACGCAGCAACGCCGCGUGGAGGAUGAAGUCCCUUGGGACGUAAACUCCUUUCGAUCGGGACGAUAAUGACGGUACC
rnacentral:rRNA from 1 species